rnacentral:lncRNA from 1 species
AGCGUGUGAAGAGGGAACGAGAGAAAGAGGACCUGGCGCUGAACAAGCACCAUUCGAGGAGAAAGUGGUGUUUCUGGCAUCCGUCCCCAGCCGUGGCCUGAGGAGGAGGGAGAGGGGACCGUCAUCCGCUGAGGCCACCUCCACCGUUGACAGCUCUACUGUUAAAAACCAGCCUCCUUAGCCGUCCGCGCAGUUAGGGUUUGAGGCACUGGCUUUUCCACUCGUGUGCAUUUAUCUCCACCAGGAUCAAAGAGAAAGCUUUGAUGCCAUCAACAGGGCAUAAAAGGAAAACUGACUGACUUUCCUCUGAACCCUUCAGACCCAUAAUGUCCUCCCUUUUCUUUCUUUUUUUUUUUUUUUCCUUGUUAGGAAGCUUUAAUACACUUUAGUCCGUUAUUUUGUUCCUUUUUAUACAAAGACAAAACAAAGCCCAGCUUUCCUGUCCCCAGAUUCCAGAUUGGAGAAUAUUUUUAUAAGGACUCUUGUCUGUCGCUGAAGUGACAAUACUGUGUAUUCCUCUCUUUUACAGGCCACACAUUGACCAUGAAGUUGCUCCCCACCCCCACCCACGAGUCUCUCGGCCCAUGUGCCCGCCGAGCGUUACUCAUAAUUACAGAGUUAUCCUUUUGUUGCGAGGUAAAGGGGUGGGGCUGAAAUCACCCGAACUAUAAGCUAGAAGCGCCUAAUCUUUGCUCUGAUGAGCCACUGGUGUAAGUUCCUAUUCACACGAUUUCCUCUGUAAGUGCUUGUAAUUAUAAGGUUAUCUGUGCCAUAUAAACUAUGGUGAGGGCAGAUAUCCUACCAUUUAAAAUGUCUAGAUUUAAAGAGGCUAAGCCUUAUAAUCAUUAGAAGGGCUUAUUCAACCCCAGUCCUGUCAGGGGCAAGGCUGACUGCCAGGCCUGCGUACCUACAACAACGGCCAGCCAAGUCCUACCGUUGGAUAACCGUGUCAGAGUCGGUGGCUUUCGAUGGUCUCUGAUUUCGCUGUGCUCCCACCAGCAAACCCUCCUGGGGCCUGAAGAGAGGUAAGGGAAGGGGAAAAGACUCAUCCCACUGGCUACAGGUCAGUCACCUCGGCCUCACGGCCUCACACCUACAGCCAACUUCACUUUGUAAGACAAGUAUUUGUAUUUUUUUUUUUUUAAUUUUAACUCUUCCCAGGGAAAAUUCAGGUCACCACUGAAGUAGGCCAAGGCAGGGCACCUGCUUCUUAGAGAGGUCUCACCAGGGAGCCUGUGAAAGCACAAAGCUGGGGGUUGGGUCCUGCCUUCUCCAGCAGGGAAAGGAGUCAGUUACUAAGAGCAUAGGGAAUGGUGCUAUUCCGAGGUAGUUCUGACCCCGUGCCCCUUGGGAAGGUCAGUGUUAGAACAGAACUUGCAAAGCAGGGGAGGUCUCAAGAGGCAUCAAUAUCAUUGCCUCUCCGCAGAUUAAAAUGUUACAGUAUACACACUUGCACACACACACACACACACACACAACCAUCAGAGAGUCACAACUCCACACCUGCCACAGGAUGUCGUGUGCUAGACACUGGGGCCCAUCCUGUUGGGAGGUCACCUUACUGAUGCUAAGGGCUAUUGAUUUUUUUGUUUGUUUGCUUUUUGGUUUUGGGUUUAUUUUGUUUUUUGUUUUGUUUUGUUUUGUUUUGUUUUCUCUGAAGAUGGGAAAGAGACAGUUGAGUCCAAACUCCAAAUGCCAUAUGGAUUUGGAAAUCUGUGUAGACCACAGGCAGGUGUUUGUUUCUGGCAUGGCCACAUUCCAGAUACAAGAACGUAGAGAGACCCAGCAAGGCACCACACCCUCUCAUGGCAGAGAGGGAGCAGUGGGGCAGGGUGAGGGCCAGCUAAUAAAGCCUCCCCUCCCCCCCUUAACUUUGUUCAUAGGGCAAAUGGCUGACGGAAGGAGAAGGUGGGUAGGUUGAGAGGGUAUGCGUCAAGACUUGGGGAGAGGUAGCAGAUAGCCGUCUUGAGGCUCUGUUUUCAAUGAGUAGUCCUAGUCGACCUUAACCAAAGCUCCAUCCGAUUGUAUUCUUGCCAAAACACAACAGACACAUGCACGAACAUGGGGCGUAAGCAAUAAUGUCCUCUCGUGUUCUCCACGGCUGCUCGAACCAAGUGGCUGGUUCAUUUGGUUGACACUGAUUCGCCUUUAACCAUGACGGUUCCUGUUUUUUAUUUCACAGAAAGCCAAUAAAAUUGUUUAGCUAUAAAAAAAAAAAAA